UCAGUAGAGUUUGAUCAUGGCUCGAGACGAACGCUGGCGGUGUGCUUCACACAUGCAAGUCGAACGAGAUAGCAAUACCUAGUGGCGACGGGUGAGUACGCUGGGAAUCUGCCUUUAGAUGGGGGAUAACCGAGCCGAAAGGUUCGCUAAUACCGCAUAUGCCGCAAGGUGAAAGGAGUAAUCCGUCUGAAGAUGAGCCCGCGUCCGAUUAGCUAGUUGGUGGGGUAAAAGGCCUACCAAGGCGACGAUCGGUAGCUGGUCUGAGAGGAUGAUCAGCCACAAUGGGACUGAGACACGGCCCAUACUCCUACGGGAGGCAGCAGUGGGGAAUUUUACGCAAUGGGGAAACCCUGACGUAGCGACACCGCGUGAGCGAAGAAGCCCCCUUGGGGUGUAAAGCUCUGUCAGCUGGAACGAAACAAAUGACGGUACCAGCAGAGGAAGCAUCGGCUAACUACGUG
rnacentral:rRNA from 1 species